UUCCAGACUCCUACGGGAGGCAGCAGUGGGGAAUAUUGGGCAAUGGACGCAAGUCUGACCCAGCAACGCCGCGUGAAGGAAGAAGGCUUUCGGGUUGUAAACUUCUUUUAAGGGGGAAGAGCAGAAGACGGUACCCCUUGAAUAAGCCACGGCUAACUACGUGCCAGCAGCCGCGGUAAUACGUAGGGAGCGAGCGUUGUCCGGAUUUACUGGGUGUAAAGGGUGCGUAGGCGGCUUUGCAAGUCAGAAGUGAAAUCUAUGGGCUUAACCCAUAAACUGCUUUUGAAACUGCAGGGCUUGAGUGAAGUAGAGGUAGGCGGAAUUCCCGGUGUAGCGGUGAAAUGCGUAGAGAUCGGGAGGAACACCAGUGGCGAAGGCGGCCUACUGGGCUUUAACUGACGCUGAGGCACGAAAGCGUGGGUAGCAAACAGGAUUAGAUACCCCCGUAACA
rnacentral:rRNA from 1 species